rnacentral:rRNA from 1 species
AUUGAACGCUGGCGGCAGGCCUAACACAUGCAAGUCGAACGAGUGGCGGACGGGUGAGUAAUGUCUGGGAAACUGCCUGAUGGGGGGGGAUAACUACUGGGAACGGUAGCUAAUACCGCAUACCAUCGGAUGUGCCCAGAUGGGAUUAGCUAGUAGGUGGGGUAAAGGCUCACCUGGGCGAAGAUACCUAGCUGUCCUGAGAGGAUGACCAGCCACACUGGAACGGAGACCCGGCCCAGACUCCUACGGGCGGCAGCAGGGGGGAACAUUGCACAAUGGGCGAAAUCCUGCUGCAGCCAUGCCGCGUGUAUGAAGAAGGCCUUCGGGUUGUAAAGUACUUGCAGCGGGGAGGCGUUACCCGCAGAAGAAGCACCGGCUAACUCCGUGCCAGCAGCCGCGGUAAUAC